AACAUCGCGCACCUGCGGGAACCUGCGGAGGGAUCAUUACGGAGUUGCAAAACUCCCUAAACCAUUGUGAACGUUACCUAAACCGUUGCUUCGGCGGGCGGCCCGGGUCCUUCCCGGCGCCCCUCGGCCCUCGCGGGCGCCCGCCGGAGGUAAACCAAACUAUUGCAUUGUAUGGCCUCUCUGAGUCUUCUGUACUGAAUAAGUCAAAACUUUCAACAACGGAUCUCAGAUCGGAAGAGC
rnacentral:misc_RNA from 1 species